AUACCUACCUGGCAGGGGAGACACCAUAAUAAGGCAGGCGGUUUUCCCAGGGUGAGGCUCAUCCCUUGCACGCCCAGUGUUCUGACCGCUGCUAUUUCCCCAAAUGCGGGAAACACAACUGCAUAAUUUGUGGUAGUGAGGGACUGUGUUCAUACUCUCCCCUA
rnacentral:snRNA from 1 species